GCCUUACUUCAGCUGCUUCUCCAAGUUACUGAUCAUUUUAAAGACCUUCUAGUUAAGCUCUUUGUUGGGCCUCCACAGAGCUUUGAAAGGAGAAAGUGUCUGCGGGUCUCAACAAAGGGAAAAGAGAAGAUAAAAAAGGAUGAGAGGGAAAAUUGUUGGGACACAAAUAUCCAGAAUAAAAUCAGAAAAUAAGAUCUAGCCUUGAUGAUCUCCCCAUCUGGAAAAUUUACUACGGGUGAUUCUUGAUACCUGAGGGA